ACCUUCAUCAAAGGCAUGUUUGCUAGUUUUAAAUGGCAAAUGUGUAAGAACUGAAGGCAGAGAAAGGUUUUUUCUGAUCACAUGAAGGGUUGAUACCAUUCAACUUUUUCAUAUUCAGAAAUAACUAC
rnacentral:snoRNA from 1 species